rnacentral:rRNA from 1 species
GGGGGGGGGGGGGGGGGGGGGGGGGGGGGGGGGGGCGAGGGGGGCGGGGUGGGGGUGGGCGGGGGUCGGGGAGGGGCGGGGGGGGGAGGGACACGUGGGCGACCUGCCCGCAAGGCCGGGAUAACUCCGGGAAACCGGAGCUAAUCCCGGCUAACACCGACGCCCGCCUGGUCUUCGGUUGAAAGGCGGCCUUUGGGCUGUCACUUGCGGCUGGGCCCGCGGCGCAUUAGCCAGUUGGUGAGGUAACGGCUCACCAAGGCGACGAUGCGUAGCCGGCCUGAGAGGGUGACCGGCCACACUGGGACUGAGACACGGCCCAGACUCCUACGGGAGGCAGCAGUAGGGAAUCUUCCGCAAUGGGCGAAAGCCUGACGGGGCGACGCCGCGUGGGCGAAGAAGGCCUUCGGGUCGUAAAGCUCUGUUGUGAGGGACGAAGGAGCGUCGUUCGAAGAGGGCGGCGCGGUGACGGUACCUCACGAGAAAGCCCCGGCUAACUACGUG